UACGUAGGAGGCGAGCGUUGUCCGGAGUUACUGGGCGUAAAGGGUGCGCAGGCGGCGGUUCGCGUGGCGAGAUGAAAUCUCCUGGCUUACCUGGGAGGAUGGUCGCCAGACGGGAUCGCUUGAGGGUCGGAGAGGGGCGUGGAAUUCCGGGUGGAGCGGUGAAAUGCGUAGAGAUCCGGAGGAACACCAGUGGCGAAGGCGGUUGCCUGGGGCUUUGCUGACGCUGAUGCGCGAAAGCGUGGGGAGCGAUCCGG
rnacentral:rRNA from 1 species